CCAUUAUCUUUCCUUUUCAGACCGCCCACCAGCGGAGCUGCGCGUGAGGGCUGGGGCACCGUCUCCUCCUGCUGACAGACAGUGUCUGGUGAAGAUCUGAAAACCUUCUUCCUACAGAGAAGCACUGCAGAUGCUGGGAGCUAUCACUGGAGCUGACGUGAGUAUUUUCAAACCUUCAUUUCAAUUUGCUGCACGAAUAGCCUGGUUAUUCUUCAGUAUUAAUGGAAUCACAUUUUAAGUGCUGCCUCCAACAAGUUGCUGCUACAACUCUUGGUUUACACGUUGCCAUAACUUACUCACACAACAGUCCUUGGAAAACUACAAGGCACAAGAGAGAAGAACACCUCUCCCCCAUCCCACAUAUCCCACAAAAUCCAGAAGGUAGUUUGGAAACACGACCCCUCCACACACGCGUUUCAAGGUUGGAAGCUACCUCUGAGUCAGGCAACUACUGCAAGCAGAAAGUCAGUGGCAUAGAUGAAGGUAACUUUUAGUGAUUCAUGCUUUGUAACUGCAGUAAAAUGACAGAACUGCCUGUGCCAUACUGCUCCAAACCUAAGGAAUUUAUCACCUAUCUCUUUAGACACAGACAGCCUAUCUUCUAUCCUGAAUACCAAAAAAUACAGCCUAUGUCCUGCCCUGCCUUCCUUUCCCCUGCUCUCCCAAUGAACCAGAACUCAUCUGCAGUGAUAACCAACAAGACCAGUCAGACAGAACCACAAAAGUCACUCUUUUUAUCUUAAUGCCUGCUCCAUCUCUGACCC